rnacentral:rRNA from 1 species
GUUGUAUAGUCAAGUAAUUAAGUGCAUGUGGUGGAUGCCUUGGCAGUCAGAGGCGAUGAAAGACGUGAUAGCCUGCGAAAAGCUCCGGGGAGGCGGCAAAUAUCCUUUGAUCCGGAGAUGUCUGAAUGGGGGAACCCACCUACUUUAAGGUAGGUAUUGCAACAUGAAUACAUAGUGUUGCAAGGCGAACGAGGGGAAGUGAAACAUCUCAGUACCCUUAGGAAAAGAAAUCAAUUGAGAUUCCCUCAGUAGCGGCGAGCGAACGGGGAUCAGCCCAUUAAGUUAUGUGUGUUUUAGUGGAACGCUCUGGGAAGUGCGAACGUAGAGGGUGAUAUUCCCGUACACGAAAGGGCACACAUAAUGAUGACGAGUAGGGCGAGGCACGUGAAACCUUGUCUGAAUAUGGGGGGACCAUCCUCCAAGGCUAAAUACUCCUGACUGACCGAUAGUGAACCAGUACCGUGAGGGAAAGGCGAAAAGAACCCCUGUGAGGGGAGUGAAAUAGAUCCUGAAACCGCAUGCAUACAAGCAGUGGGAGCACCUUCGUGGUGUGACUGCGUACCUUUUGUAUAAUGGGUCAGCGACUUAUAUUCAGUAGCGAGGUUAACCGUAUAGGGGAGCCGUAGAGAAAUCGAGUCUUAAUAGGGCGUUUAGUUGCUGGGUAUAGACCCGAAACCAGGCGAUCUAUCCAUGAGCAGGUUGAAGGUUGGGUAACACUAACUGGAGGACCGAACCCACUGUCGUUGAAAAGCCAGGGGAUGACUUGUGGAUAGGGGUGAAAGGCUAAUCAAGCCUGGUGAUAGCUGGUUCUCCCCGAAAGCUAUUUAGGUAGCGCCUCGGACGAAUACCAUUGGGGGUAGAGCACUGUUUCGGCUAGGGGGUCAUCCCGACUUACCAAACCGAUGCAAACUCCGAAUACCAAUGAGUACUAUCCG